GGGAGAAGAGCCUGGCUGCUAGGGAGUGUACCUGGGCUCUCCCUAAUUUUUUUCUUCCAGAUACAGAUCUCACCCUGGUUAUCAUUGUUUUAGUGAGACACAAGGAACUCAGUCUAAGGCAUGUUUUCUGUGUGCGCAGUCUAAGGCCAACUGAGGACACAGAAGGGCUUCCUGCUGAAUCAAGCCGAAACGCCAGUCACAGAGGGAGGGUUGUGUCCGACUGAUUGCUUCAGCUCUGAUGCAGUGGACGACCCGGACAUUCUACUGUGCCUGGUGAUGUAUACAGGAGGAACACAGAUCAAAUCGGUAGUGGUGAGUUGAUGUGUUGCCCCUUAGAGACUGCUCACAAUGACCGAUGCAGACACGGGCUGCCACCAUGAUGGACAGUAUCCUAUAGCCUAUGAGAGGAGCUUAUAUACUCUCUUGUCUCCGAGCAGAAUUGCCGGAUCACGUAACCAAUCUUUUCCCACCUUACAGAAAAAGGGCGCCAAAAGUCCAACAAGAAGGGAGACCAACAUAGCUCCCAAACAACUAUACAGAAUUCAAAAUGGUGAUUGUGAACAAUUUUUUAAAAUACCAUAACACAAUAUACAGUUAGAAUACAUAACACAACAGUUUUGCCAUACAGGGAUCUUGCUGGUUGUAAUAAAUGCUGGUGGAAGCCAGAAUGGCGUUAUAAGGUUGUUCUGAACAGGGAGGGUGAUAGUGUUCUUAACACUCAGGGUAGGACAAGAAGUAAUGGGCUUAAAUUACAGCAAGGGAAGACUUAGGUUAGACAUUAGGAAAAACUUCCUAACAUAAGGGUAAGGUAGGGUUGUUAAGCACUGGAAAAAACUACCUAAGGAAGUUGGGGAAUCUCCAUCACCAAAGAUUUUUUUAGAACAGGUUAGACAAACCAGGGAUGAUUUAGAUAAUACUUAGUCCUGCCCCAGUGCAGGGGAUGGUCUAGAUGACCUAUCAAGGUCCCUUCCAAUCCUACAUUUCUGAUUUUUGUGACUGAGAAAACAAAGCUUACAAAGUGGCAUAAUUGAGUUGUGAGCUCUGCAGAUUGAUUUGCAAUUCUUGGUAGAAAUAGUCUUACUAAAUACUUGGGCAACAAUUAUAUUUAAGCUAGGGAAACCAGAUUGCCAUUUAGCAGGAAGAGACAUCCAACUGAUAGCAACGUUAAAAUAAACUUAUUUCCUUGUGUGGCACAAAGCAGGGCCAGCUAAAAUUUUUUGAGUAGGUGGGU